rnacentral:rRNA from 1 species
UACGUAGGGUGCAAGCGUUGUCCGGAAUUAUUGGGCGUAAAGAGCUCGUAGGCGGUCUGUCGCGUCUGCUGUGAAAACUCAGGGCUUAACCCUGAGCUUGCAGUGGGUACGGGCAGACUAGAGUGCGGUAGGGGAGACUGGAAUUCCUGGUGUAGCGGUGAAAUGCGCAGAUAUCAGGAGGAACACCGGUGGCGAAGGCGGGUCUCUGGACCGAUACUGACGCUGGAGGAG